GAACUGAAGAGUUUGAUCAUGGCUCAGAUUGAACGCUGGCGGCAGGCCUAACACAUGCAAGUCGAGCGGAUGAAGGGAGCUUGCUCCUGGAUUCAGCGGCGGACGGGUGAGUAAUGCCUAGGAAUCUGCCUGGUAGUGGGGGAUAACGUCCGGAAACGGGCGCUAAUACCGCAUACGUCCUGAGGGAGAAAGUGGGGGAUCUUCGGACCUCACGCUAUCAGAUGAGCCUAGGUCGGAUUAGCUAGUUGGUG
rnacentral:rRNA from 1 species